rnacentral:rRNA from 1 species
UGGGGAAUAUUGCACAAUGGACGAAAGUCUGAUGCAGCAACGCCGCGUGGAGGAUGACACAUUUCGGUGCGUAAACUCCUUUUAUAUAGGAAGAAAAUGACGGUACUAUAUGAAUAAGCACCGGCUAACUCCGUGCCAGCAGCCGCGGUAAUACGGAGGGUGCAAGCGUUACUCGGAAUCACUGGGCGUAAAGAGCGUGUAGGCGGGUAUAUAAGUCAGAAGUGAAAUCCAAUAGCUUAACUAUUGAACGGCUUUUGAAACUGUAUACCUAGAAUGUGGUAGAGGUAGAUGGAAUUUCUAGUGUAGGGGUAAAAUCCGUAGAGAUCAGAAGGAAUACCGAUUGCGAAGGCGAUCUACUGGAACAUUAUUGACGCUGAGACGCGAAAGCGUGGGGAGCAAACA